AGAGUUUGAUCCUGGCUCAGGACGAACGCUGGCGGCGUGCCUAACACAUGCAAGUCUAUUUGAAGUCGGAAGCUUGCUUCUGACGGAGGAUGGCGAACGGGUGAGUAACGCGUAGACAACCUGCCCUUUAAUCCGGGACAACCCUGUGAAAACGGGACUAAGACCGGAUGGUAUCGGAAGAUCGCAUGAUCUUCUGAUUAAAGAUCUCGAAUCGUUAAAGGAUGGGUCUGCGUGACAUUAGCUAGUUGGUAAGGUAAAAGCUUACCAAGGCUUCGAUGUCUAGCUGGUCUGAGAGGAUGAUCAGCCACACUGGGACUGAGAUACGGCCCAGACUCCUACGGGAGGCAGCAGUGAGGAAUAUUGCGCAAUGGGGGCAACCCUGACGCAGCAACGCCGCGUGUGUGAAGAAGCAGUUAUCUGUGUAAAACACUGUUAAUCGGGAAGAACGGACUUGUUAGUAGCAGGUCUUGACUGUACCGGCAGAGGAAGCUCCGGCUAACUCCGUGCCAGCAGCCGCGGUAAUACGGGGGGAGCGAGCGUUGUCCGGAAUCAUUGGGCGUAAAGGGCAUUCAGGUGGGUCUUUAAGUCAGUUGUUAAAUAUUACGGCUUAACCGUAUUGUGCAAUUGAUACUGGAGAUCUUGAGUUUGAGAGGGGACAGUGGAAUACCUAGUGUAGCGGUGGAAUGCGUAGAUAUUAGGUAGAACACCUGAGGCGAAGGCGACUGUCUGGCUCAUAACUGACACUGAAGUGCGAAAGCAUGGGUAGCGAACAGGAUUAGAUACCCUGGUAGUCCAUGCCGUAAACGAUGGGUACUAGUUGUCGGGGGACUAACCCCCUCGGUGGCGUCGCUAACGCAUUAAGUACCCCGCCUGGGGAGUACGAUCGCAAGGUUGAAACUCAAAGGAAUUGACGGGGCCCCGCACAAGCGGUGGAGCAUGUGGUUUAAUUCGAUGCAACGCGAAGAACCUUACCUGGGCUUGAACUGCAUUUGACAACUCCAGAGAUGGAGCCUUCCCAGCAAUGGGACAGAUGCGGAGGUGCUGCAUGGCUGUCGUCAGCUCGUGUCGUGAGAUGUUGGGUUAAGUCCCGCAACGAGCGCAACCCUUAUCAUUAGUUGCCAGCGAGUAAUGUCGGGGACUCUAAUGAGACUGCCCGGGUUAACCGGGAGGAAGGUGGGGAUGACGUCAAGUCCUCAUGGCCCUUAUGUCCAGGGCUACACACGUGCUACAAUGGACGGUACAGAGCGCAGCUACCUCGUGAGAGGAUGCGAAUCGCAAAAACCGUUCUCAGUUCGGAUUACAGUCUGCAACUCGACUGUAUGGAGUCGGAAUCGCUAGUAAUCGCAGAUCAGCAUGCUGCGGUGAAUACGUUCCCGGGGCUUGUACACACCGCCCGUCACACCAUGGAAGUUGAUAGUGCUCGAAGCAGCUGAUUCAACCCCUCGGGGAGGAAGGUUUCUAAGGCAAGAUUGAUGACUGGGGUGAAGUCGUAACAAGGUA
rnacentral:rRNA from 1 species